CUGCACAGUAGUGCCAAACACGACUUUAGCACUUGGUUCUCUAUUUCCAUGUAGAACUCUCCUUCAAAAAUAUUCCUUAUCCUUUCGAUUAUUUAACUGCCUUGGUACAUACCUGACAUCAUCUCACCUCACAGAAGCUGCUGCUUCCCUGAGCAUUGCAAGAUUUGGGAAGAGGGUAAAAAUGCUGGUGGAAUGGGUAAAGAUGGAAGCUUGAUGUCUAGCUUUCCAUGGAAGAGCAGCUGUAAGAGGAUUAUCUGUCAAACAGUAAAAUACAAAGGAUGCUGUCAAUUUCCAAUCAGACGGAAAAUUCAUACUGGGAAGCUGCAACCAAGAGAGGAAUUUUCAUACCCAUUUGCAUGUAUCAGACAGAAAACAGACGAUUGAAUGCAGACUCACUGUGACAGCAUGAAAGAGCUACUCACAGCAGAGAAAUAUUAAGAUGUAAAGAGAUGUAUCUAAGGCACAAUUUCAUCAGGGUGUAUAGAGACCUGCAGGAAGAACAGAAUUUGACGGCAGAGAAAGCUCUUCAAUGUGGUGGUUGGAGUUUGAGUGACCAUCCUUGGAAACCACUAUUAUAGAUUUGCUUUGUUCUUGCACCCAUUUGAUACUGGUGGUACCGGUUUCUCUUUGAGAAAAAGGCUAUUAAGCUAGCUGGAUCUCUGGUUUUACUCUAUACAUUCUUAUGCUCAAAUAUCUUGAUGAGGUGAUCUACUUCUUCUCAGUGAGGGUGACAGACACUGGAACAGGCUGCCCAGGGGGGUUGUGGAGUCUCCUUCUCUGGAGACAUUCAAAACCCGCCUGGACACCUAGGUGUUCCUGCUCCAGCAGGGGGAUUGGACUAAAUGAUCUUUUGAGGUCCCUUCCAAUCCCAAACAUACUGUGAUACUGUGAUAUAGCCAUAGAUAUAUUUUGUAGUGUUAUUGCUCUAUCCUUCUUAGCAUUUGCAAACAUUUUCAGCAGCUAUUUACAUGUUGGUUUUUUUUUCAUGUUUCCUAUGAGUUACUUUUCCAUUUACUUUUCCAUUUACUUGGGUAAUUAUCAUAGGGACCACAUCAAGACUUGCUAAAAUAUAUACACAUAUAUUAUACCUAUAAGAAGCAUAUAUCAAGACAAAGUAAAUAAGGAUUAUUUAUUUAUUUAUUAAAUAGGGGCAUAACAAGGUUUUUAAAGGCUAUUUUUCAUUUACCUGUUAAGAAAGGCCAAAAUAACCAAGACACACAGCUCAUCUUAACAUAUUUUGUAGUGAAGACUCAGUGGGUUUUAGCAUUGAAAAAAAAUGCUUCUGAAACAAAUGAAUAAUGAAAUAAAGGAAUAUAUCCACUGAUUGCUUCUCUAGACCAUGUCUACAGAUUUGCAUCAGAACUUUGGAAAAUUCUGUAAAGGGAAUAUCAACCAUGAUUUUUCUCUUUUCUUUUUCAACUAAAUGCUGGCAUUGUACUUAUUCUGAACACAGAGAGAAUGAAAUUAAGCCUGACUCAAUAUCCACUCAUAUUGAAUUGCAGGUUUUCCCAUGUCUUCAUGCAGAUCCAUAAUCUCUAGGUCUACAGAGACUAACAUCCACUCCAAGUCAGUACUGUCUAAAAACAGGUUAAUAAAAAAAACCCAAACCAAACCAAAACUACAAUCCCCCACACACAAAACAAACCUGUCAAAAGGUGCAGACCUAUUUAAUUAACCAUUUAAGGGCUUGGAAUUAUUGAGGAAUAAGUUAAUUUUAAAGAUUAGGAAGGCUGAAUUAAGACAGUAAGAGUAUUCAGAGUGCGAAACCAAAAGAUGUAUUCCCAUGCUUAAAAUCUACGGAGCUAGCUCAAGCUCUGAUGAUGAAAACAGACAAAGGCAGAAAGAGGGGAUCUGUGAAAACAACACAUUUCAAAGACUAUCUUGUGUUUUUACCAAGCCCUCAGCAUCAUGUUUUAUGGCAUCACCUCUGUAGUGCUUUUUCUCCUACUGGUACCCUUCAAUUUAACAAAAUAAAGUUGGAUUCAAAAAACACACAGUAUAACUAAUUAUCCUGGUCAUAUUAGCAUUUACAGGAAAAGUUUCAAAGUAUAAAGUCAAAUUAACUAAAUGUAACAUUGAUACAACACUCUCUGAGAAAGACACUCUGAGUCAAAUUCCUUUGGAUUAUGGUAAUCGAGGCCUUUUUAUGUGACUAUUGAAUCAUGACAAAAUGAUAUUUUAUCUGUUAUCCUACACAUGGCAGAAUGUUGAGGUCUGUAGGAAGACUUUGAAUCUGUGCAUUUCAGAAUUAUUUGCAAUCGGCAGUUUUGUUUUCAUUAGUAGAAUGCUUACCUUUAAGGCAGACAUAUUUGCAACACAUAUGUAAAAAUAAACAGAAAUCUCAUCAAAUUUCACUUGGAACAGUGAAAUAAAAAAAAAUAUCAGAAAUAUAUAUGAACUGUUUUCAAACACACAAAAUCCAGUAGCAUAUCUAAAAUGGAAUUAUCCUAUGGUUUUAACUCAUGUAAGUCACAAAGUAGUACCUUGUUUGAGCUGAAGUCAGUCAGUCUUUGGUUGACUCUUCCAUACACUGUUUUUUUCCCACAAUUUUAUUUGAAUUGUUGAGAACACCAGCAUCUAUACUUCAAAAGCUGCAAAUAAGCAUAAAAGAAACUUGAAAAAAGUUAGCUGGUGAGUAAUUUCAUUAAAGGGAAAGUUUUGAAAGCCUUGCACAGUGCUUCUACAAGAAUGCAGGCAUACAUUGUCAUUCACUUUCCUGUCCAGAAGAAUUUAAGAAUAGGAAUAUGCUACAAUAGCAGCUAGAGAAAGAGAAUUCCUUAUUUGAGUAUAGCAUUGUAAUUGUGUUAACAAAAGCAAGAACAAAUUCAGGCAGAUAUAGAGCCUGAAACAAAAUUGUGUACGGCAGGGUACGAGAAACUCUUUAAAAAUUAAUCUAUUAUCUUCUGAAAUUACUGCUAUUCCAAAAGGUCAAUAACUAGCUGCAUAUUAUUAUCAUUAGUUUAAUUAAACCAGAUUUUUCUUUCUCUUCUAUUAGCACUAAUAAGCUUUAGUUAAAACCAGUCUACAAAGAUAUGAAAAAAAAGCACUUCUAUAAUUUUAAUUUUACAGUAAAGUAACACACUGGCUAUUCACAAUGCUCACCUCUUCUCCAAAUUUACAAAUGAAAAUAAUAGAAACUAGAGUCUCUGUACAAGAUGAAAUGUCUAAACAAACAGGCAGUGAAAAGCAAAUGAGGUAAUAUUUAAGAUUAAUUACAACCCUGAGGAUAUGUGCUAUGUGUUCUGUUCAGUCUUGUGAACCAGUUACCAUUGUCUUACCACUUCCCUGGCCAUUCAAUGUGAAAGAUGUGUAUACUACUACAAAAUAUCCAGAUCCCCCUCCAGUUUAGCAACGGAUGCCUGUGACUGUGAGAAGGGGAACGGGCCUCAGAAGUACCUAACUGGAACUGAAUGGCCCUAACAAAGAAAGCAAUAAUUUUGUCUUGUCCUGACUGGCUGCUUCCAGGUCUCUGAGUCAUCCAACACAGACUCCCAGACUUGGAAAAGGAGACAAAAAUCCCCACUAACUCAGUGCUACAUUUCUUCCUGACUUAUGAUAGAUACUGCUGAUGAAAUCUUUGUCCUGAUAAAUGUGGUCUUAUAGCAAUGCAAAUGCUUUUCAGUGCAAAGUAAAGCCAGUCAGAAUUGAGCUGCCUUUUUAUAUUUGAUCAAGAAUUCAAAAA